ACAAAACAUAGAGCGAGCUUUUAUAGCCUGAGGCUGUGUUUAGUUCAGCGCAAAGUUUGGAUUUUGGUUGAAAUUGGAGAUGAUGUGACUGAAAAGUUGUGUGUGUAUGACAGGUUGAUGUGAUGGAAAAGGACUGAAGUUUGGAUCCAAACUUUGGAUCUAAACACAGCCUAAAUGUGAAACUAAUUCUGUGAGUAGAUGAGGUUCUGUGAUAAUUUUCUUGAGCAUAAGUGCACGUUUUGAUGUUCUCUAUCUGCAUUUUCUUGUAUGCUUUCCCCUUUUGUGCAGAUAAAUAACUGGCAAGAUAUUGGAAUGCCUAAGAAUGGUACAAAACUAAGAGCAAGAACUUUCGGUGCCAAUACAACACUGCCAGCCUUUGGUCAUGAAAACAUUAGAGAAUCAACUUAGACAUCACCAUAUCUUACAGGUGGGCUUAAAGUAUAUAAUAAACAAAGUGGAACAAGUCAUGAAUGUCAUGCCUAAUUGUUGUUGUUUUAACCAGGCAACAAACUCAGGAAAUCGAGAUGCACACUUCAAAUGAUCUGAUUUUGAAGCACACAACUGACAAAGUGGACAUGCUACAACAAUUUCUACAACAAGAAGCACCAUUUAUAGAACAAAAUGCAGUACACAUGUAUGUUGAUUGCAGUGCUAGGAGUGCAGUAAAUUUUUUUACAUGGGUGUAUUUUUUGCAAUGAUGGAUGUUAAUAAUUGAGGGAUAUGAUGAGUUAGAUGAUAUAAACAAGGCACAAUGAAUGAAUUGAGGCCAUCCUGAUGUUGGGUUGCACAUGUAUUAUAUUUUAUUGGAUUUCUCCUUUUAUGCACUAUGUACAAUAGUUGGUCAGAGAGGAAAGGCUAGAGCUAGAAGACUUUUUCACUUUCUUUUUUUCCCUCUAAAUAUGGGCUGUUAGACAGAGUUUUACUAACUGAUAGCAAUAACAACACUCCUCUGAAAAUAAGAGAGAUGUGUUCCUCUGUUUGCUAGAUGCUACUGGCCAGCCUAAUGGUAAUUGAUUAAUUCCAUGCAGCACCAUAUUUAUCUUGUA